rnacentral:rRNA from 1 species
AACGAACGCUGGCGGCAUGCCUAACACAUGCAAGUCGAACGAGACCUUCGGGUCUAGUGGCGCACGGGUGCGUAACGCGUGGGAACCUGCCCUUAGGUUCGGAAUAACUCCCCGAAAGGGGUGCUAAUACCGGAUAAUGUCUUCGGACCAAAGAUUUAUCGCCUUUGGAUGGGCCCGCGUUGGAUUAGCUAGUUGGUAGGGUAAAAGCCUACCAAGGCGACGAUCCAUAGCUGGUCGGAGAGGAUGAUCAGCCACACUGGGACUGAGACACGGCCCAGACUCCUACGGGAGGCAGCAGUGGAGAAUAUUGGACAAUGGGCGAAAGCCUGAUCCAGCAAUGCCGCGUGAGUGAUGAAGGCCUUAGGGUUGUAAAGCUCUUUUACCCGGGAUGAUAAUGACAGUACCGGGAGAAUAAGCUCCGGCUAACUCCGUG